GGCACUAUACUUUAUAUUAAGAAGAUAUGAUUUGCGUUCAUAAAGAAAGAAUAAAUCUUUUGUGCCA
rnacentral:tRNA from 1 species